GAAAGUUCCAAAAUUGAAUUUGGAACAGUAUUGAAGAACAUUGUUCUUGGGACAAUGGAAAAUCUCUGAGUUCCAUGGCAAAGUGUUGGACGCUUUUAUUCCUAACAAAAGGCAUCGAAAAGGUCUACGUUUUGGUUUAGUAAGAUUUGCAAGCAUUGUGGAUGAUAAGAGGGCAAUUAGUGAACUUAAUGGAUUCCGUAUAUAUGGAAGUAAAGUAAAUGUGAACUUAGCUCGCUUUAAGGGAAAAGUGGUGCACUGGAAGAAAGUUGAAAACGAUAAGCUAGGAGGUGAUGAUCCUAGAGAUGAAUUAGGAGGAGAAAACGGGAAAAAACAUUCUUGGGGGAACACCAAUGGGUGAAGAGAUCAGAUAGUCAAUGAGGAUUCUAGAGAAGCUAGUGAUAUAACGUAUCAAUCAGAGGGAAACGAAUCAAUACAGAUAUAGUUAUUUUUUAAUAAUUUUAUUAUAUAAAUAUUUAGAAAAUAGACAUCAUAGUCAAACUGAAAUUAGAAUUCCUUUUCCAACAAGGAAAAGGAUUGAGUCACCACCGACUCUAAUAAUAUUAUAUAAACCCAACAAGUCUCCUCAUUGUAAA